rnacentral:rRNA from 1 species
CCUACGGGGGGCAGCAGUAGGGAAUAUUGCUCAAUGGGGGAAACCCUGAAGCAGCAACGCCGCGUGGAGGAUGAAGGUUUUCGGAUUGUAAACUCCUUUUGUUAGAGAAGAUAAUGACGGUAUCUAACGAAUAAGCACCGGCUAACUCCGUGCCAGCAGCCGCGGUAAUACGGAGGGUGCAAGCGUUACUCGGAAUCACUGGGCGUAAAGAGCGCGUAGGCGGGAUAGCAAGUCAGAUGUGAAAUCCUAUGGCUUAACCAUAGAACUGCAUUUGAAACUGUUAUUCUAGAGUAUGGGAGAGGUAGGUGGAAUUCUUGGUGUAGCGGUGAAAUGCGUAGAGAUCAAGAGGAAUACUCAUUGCGAAGGCGACCUGCUAGAACAUAACUGACGCUGAUGCGCGAAAGCGUGGGGAGCAAACAGGAUUAGAUACCCUAGUAGUC